rnacentral:rRNA from 1 species
UGUUUUUUAACAGCCGCGGUAAUUUGACCGUGCAAAGGUAGCAUAAUCAUUUGCCUUAUAAUUGAGGGCUAGCAUGAACGAAUAAACAAAAGUCUUUCUUUAUUAUUUAAAGAAAAAUAAUUUUCUCUCUUAGUGAAGAAGCUAAGAUAGGAAAGGGGACAAGAAGACCCUUUUGAGCUUUACUGUUGUUCUUCUUGGUUAACAUCAGUUUGGUUGGGGCGACCAAGGAAUAUCUUCCUUUUUAAUUUUGAUCCACGGUUUGUGAUUAAAAGAAUAAGUUACCAAAGGGAUAACAGCGUAAUCUUUUUUGAGAGUUCUUAUUAAAAAAAGGGAUUGCGACCUCGAUGU